UGUGUGUCGUAACAGGAAGUCGUCAUUUCGUUGUUUCGUUAGUGUGUAAACUGAACAAAGUAUUUUUUUCCCUUUUUUUCCCUUUCUUUCCUUCUUUUUUAUUUUCUUUCUCCUUUCCUUCUCUCUAGAUCACCACCACCACCACCACUAGUCAGUCACCACCACCACCACCGCCAUGCAAACGCCACUGAAGCACCACCACCUCCUUCACCUCCUCGUUCUCACGCAGCUCAGGCCCGGCUUGACGCAGAAGGAGGGGAAGGGGCUGUGUGUGUGCGUCAUGGGAGUGGACCUGAAGAUAGGCCUGGCGGACGUGAUACGCGUGCCUCACUGGUUCUCCAUCAACUGUACCGACGCUGAUUUGUGUGUGGAAGAGUGUCAGGCUGAGUGGGUCUUAACAAUGGGCAACGCAGACCUCAACGAGAUGUACCGCUAUCACAUCACCUUUGGCCAGUUUAUGUGCAAUAUUAUAGAAGUCUACCACAGCAUUACCACCAUUCCCGCUACAAAGGUGCUGCAGUACGUGGACCUGUGCGGCACUGCUCAUGUGAACCGCAACCACACCACACACCUGGACCUGUGCUGCGAGUUGGGCGCUUAUGUCCCCUGCCCUGAGUUGCCCUCCUACAUCACUCUCCCUACUCAUCCCCACACUACUACUACACUACUACUACUACUACUACUACUACGCCUACUAUUACUACUACCACUACAACUACGCCUACUACUCCUACUACUACUACUACUACCACUACUCCUACUAAUGCUACUACUACUGCUACUACUACUGCUACUAUUAAUCCUCGUUUUCUUCCUCAUUUCCGUUGAUGCUGCAAUAGUAUCUACUACUACUACUACUACUGCUACUACUACUACUACUACUACUGACGUUACUGUAGUGUGUAUGCUUUGUAUGUUUUCUUGCCUUUUUUGUGUGUGUGAGAGAGAGAGAGAGAGAGAGAGAGAGAGAGAGAGAGAGAGAGAGAGAGAGAGAGAGAGAGAGAGAGAGAGAGAGAGAGAGGUAUCAGUCACUAAAUAAAAUAAAAAAGUCGAAGGAAUUAUUACCCAGAAUUGUGUGUGUGUGUGUGUGUGUGUGUGUGUGUGUGUGUGUGUGUGUGUGUGUGUGUGUGUGUGUGAACGUGACAAAGCAGCCAAACAAAAUCCAUGUAUAGUCUGCGUAAUGUGUGUAUGUGUGUGUGU